GACGAACGCUGGCGGCGUGCUUAACACAUGCAAGUCGAACGGCAAGGCCCUGCUUUUGUGGGGUGCUCGAGUGGCGAACGGGUGAGUAACACGUGAGUAACCUGCCCUAGACUUUGGGAUAACUUCAGGAAACUGGGGCUAAUACCGGAUAGGAGCUCCUGCUGCAUGGUGGGGGUUGGAACGUUUCGGCGGUUGGGGAUGGACUGGCGGCUUAUCAGCUAGUUGGUGGGGUAGUGGCUUACCCAGGCUUUGGCGGGUAGCCGGCCUGAGAGGGUGACCGGCCACAAUGGGACUGAGAUACGGCCCAGACUCCUACGGGAGGCAGCAGUGGGGAAUAUUGCACAAUGGGCGGAAGCCUGAUGCAGCAACGCCGCGUGCGGGAUGACGGCCUUCGGGUUGUAAACCGCUUUCGCCUGUGACGAAGCGUGAGUGACGGUAAUGGGUAAAGAAGCACCGGCUAACUACGUG
rnacentral:rRNA from 1 species